rnacentral:sRNA from 1 species
GCUGGGUGUGGUGUCGGGUGCCUGUAAUCCCAGCUACUAGGGAGGCUGAGGCAGAAGAAUUGCUUGAACCUGGGUGGCGGAGGUUGCAGUGAGCUGAGAUCGUGCCACUGCAUUCCAGCCUGGGUAACAGAGCAAGACUCUGUCUCAA